rnacentral:ncRNA from 18 species
CAAAAGAAGAUGGGCACGGGUUCCGGCGUGUGCGCCGGGCAAAAGGGAAGCAGGUGCGAAUCCUGAACGGUCCCGCCGCUGUGAACGGGGAGGCCCCUCGAAAGUCCACUGGAGCGAUCCGGAAAGGACGAGGCGCCGAUGAUCCCAAGUCAGAAGACCUGCCUGGGCCCAUGAACGCGAA